rnacentral:misc_RNA from 1 species
AUACAUGAGGCUGAGAGAGCAGGAGAUACGGAACCUGAUGUGGAUCGCAGAAUGUGUAGCACAGAACCAGAAAUCCAGAGUUCAUGACAGCGUGGUCUUCAUUUUCUAAACGCUUCACUCGAAGUCAGAACUAAAAGCGAUCCAGUCCUACAGUUUGCUUGCAAAAUAUUUUUCUCCUAUUUAGCCAAGAUCGUUUCGCUGUACGUUCUUGUUCGUCAUGA